GGGUGCUAGAAAUUGAACCCAGGUCCUCUGGAAGAGCAGCCAUUAACUACUGAGCCAUCUUUCUACUCUCUUUUUUAUAAUAUUCUUAAAAGCCUAGACCACAGAUGAUCGCAUUCUGUCUUUACCAAACAUACUUAGCUGGAGGAUGACAUUAAAGGCUACAAGUUAUAGUCAGAUCUCUCUGCUCAUAUUAUCAAUCCAAGUUAAGCCCCCCUUUUACAGUUUGGGAAUCAAAUUUAUUCCAGUGUGGAAGGAUAUAUACCCAAGCUAAAUCAAUAGGAAUUGAAGUGGUGUUACCAUCUAGAAAAGAGCAUUGAAGCACCAGUAAGUAACUGAUACAUCCUCUUCUCACACAGGAGUUUAGGAAUCAUGAGUAGAAUGCCUGCCUGAUUCCAUAGUGGCCCUGCCCUGGUCAGGAGUGACCAAGUUCCAUAAUCUGCCUAGAAGCUGAGUGCAGCAGGCUUCAUCCAAUCCCAGAGUUGUGACUGUUUGUUAAACUUCCUGGGAACUAUGUGUGGUUCAUUCUGACAUCCCUUGGCUUGUAAAGACCAAGUUUCACUUCUUUUUGUUUGUUUGCUUGUUUUCACAGUAUAAGUAUGACUGCCUUUCUGAAGACACAACGUGGAUUUCUUUCCUGUAAAGAUCUAGAGGGAUUGGGAGAAAAUCCAUAAAGAACAAGGAGAAUCUCUAAGUUCCUUCCAGGACCCAGUGAGCACGACUGAGAAGGACGGCAGGACCAGGCCAGAAAAGAAAACUGCCAGCAACACCUAUAUUUAUCCCAGCCAAGACUAUUAAGGGGUUACUUAAGUGGGACUACUUUUCAAAUUACUGCUAAUGAAACCAUGCAAAUUCUACCUUGCUAAUUUAUUGUCAUUCAAUAAAUUCUGGCAUUGUGGAAAACCA